rnacentral:rRNA from 1 species
UCCUACGGGAGGCAGCAGUGGGGAAUUUUCCGCAAUGGGCGAAAGCCUGACGGAGCAAGACCGCGUGGGGGAAGAAGGCUCUUGGGUUGUAAACCCCUUUUCUCUGGGAAGAAAGUUGUGAAAGCAGCCUGACGGUACCAGAGGAAUCAGCAUCGGCUAACUCCGUGCCAGCAGCCGCGGUAAUACGGGGGAUGCAAGCGUUAUCCGGAAUUAUUGGGCGUAAAGCGUCCGCAGGUGGUUUUGGUAGUCUGCUGUCAAAGCGCGAGGCUCAACUUCGUAUCGGCGGUGGAAACUCCAAGACUAGAGUUUGGUAGGGGUCACGGGAAUUCCCAGUGUAGCGGUGAAAUGCGUAGAUAUUGGGAAGAACACCAGCGGCGAAAGCGCGUGACUGGGCCUGAACUGACACUCAUGGACGAAAGCUAGGGGAGCGAAAGGGAUUAGAUACCCCAGUAGUCA